GCAAGUCAAACGAACCAUGUGUUUACAUAUGGUAAGUGGCAAACGGGGUAGUAACAGGUAGGAACAUACCCAUGAGUCAUGAAUAACUGUUCGAAAGAUCAGCUAAUACAUGAUAGACCCUCCGGGGUAAAGAUUUAUCGCUCAUGGAAUGGCCUGCUUCAUAUCAGCUUGUUGGUAAGGUAAAGGCUUACCAAGGCUAUGACGUGUAGGGGAGGUGAGAGCCUGACC
rnacentral:rRNA from 1 species